UUUUUACCCUGUGUAAGGAAGCAUACUGGACCAGUUUCAGUCCGGAUUAGGGCUACUCAAGAGCACAGAGAAUCUUUAUAAUGAAGUACUCUUGGCUGUCCCUGGUAGACCCACCAUUGAAUGGCUGAUAAUAUCAGGUGACCCAUUCUGGGUACCAACUACUGAGGAGGAAUAUUUGCACUUUGGGGAAAAGGCAGACUCUGAGAACCAGGCCCGCAAGUACAUGAAUGCAGUGAGAAAGCGAAAAGGACUUUAUGUAGAAGAAAAAAUCGUGGAGCAUGCUGAGAAGCAAAGAACUCUCAGUAGAAAUAAGUAACUGCCUCUACUUUCAGUUCUACACUAACUCAGCUAAGUGCAGGUGGAUUAUUUUCUGUACAGCAAAUUCAAAAUGUCAUCUUGGAUUUGUGGUUUUACACAAGAUUUCUUAUAUGCUGUAAUUUGUCUGUGGCUUCAGUUUUAAUAAACGUGAGCCUUUCCAACCUUUUAUAGAGAGACUACAGUUUGUGUAAUUUAUUUGAAUGAGAUGUAACAAGAAAUUCAAUGGAAUUACUCUCUCCAAUUUUAAGACUCUACCCCAGCUGCUGUCCUAGGAUUGCAAGUUAUUUGCUUAAACUUUCUUUCUAAUUUACCUGAUGUAAUCAAAAUUAGACCUGGUCCAGUUAUUCAUUGUAAAUAAAUUAGGCAAAGACUUUAGCUCUUUUCUUCUGUUCUUGACUCUGUUGCAAACUGAUCCUGAUUUCUCUUAAUGCAUUUAUUGUUUACAAGUAUUUGCCAUAACUACACAUUUCAGCCUGCGUGAUGUUCAUGAACUGUUCACUCUGCACUAUUCCUGGUGUGUGAGUUGUCAUCUAAAUCAUAUGGUAUUCUUUCUGCUCCAGACUGGAUUAUUUAAACUCUUCCAAGAGGAGAGAGAAGAAUAGCAAAUAGGAAAAAGUGAAUGCUCCUGUUAGCACUUCUUUACCCCUGUUACUCACUUGAAUACUAUUGUUUGUACAAAGAACAGCUAUUCACCAAAUAUUUGUGUCAACAAAACCUCAUUCAUAUACAUGUUUGUAAAUUGUCGUAGUUUACCAGCACUCUUUUUGCAGCUAAUCACAAUAAAGUUCCCCAGUUCAUUAGCCUGUUUUGCAGAUAACUUAAUAAUUCUUAAGUUAUGUGUUCUGAAUGACCCAUGUUGACAGGGAAAACAAUUAUAAAGUAGGCUUUGUUUUAAAAAAACAAGGGUUUUUUUGGCAGGGGGAAAAUAUUCAAAAUCAGAUUUUUCAGUUUUUAACUACUGUAACCAGUUGAACUUUGAGAUCAGUACAAGGUGACAGACUUGCCAAUGUCACCUGUUCUUAACUCCAAAAAUUGCAAACAAAUUUUGAGCUGAUGUGAACGCACUGGCUUGGUAGUGUUGUUUGAGCUUCCUCAUAGCUCUGCUCAAAUACCUCAACCUUUACCGGUUACACCCUUGUUAUGGUGUUUCUCUCAACUGUUAUUAUUACUAUUUAUUUAUUUGUAUUGCAAUAUCAACUAGGAGCCUGUCAUGGAGUAGGGUUCCCUCGUGCUAGGUUCUGUAUAAAGACAUAGCAAAAAAAUGGUCCCUGGGCCCACCUUGAACAACUGCUGUUUGUGCUGACCACCGAAUUCAUUGUAAUUUGUGAUUUAAUUUGGAUUUAGAUUCUGCUUUCUGGAGGUGAAAGGCUGGUGCAUUAAUGUACCACAUCACCUAGAGCCAAACACGAUAAAUACUCUAUUAAUCUGAAAUUUCAGCUCUGUUGGAUUUACAAGCUGCUUCCAUUCCACAGCAAAAGAUUCCCACCACUGUUCAAAAGUCCUAAUAUUUUGCGACAGUGACUACAUGAAACUCUGCUUGGUCUUAUUUUAUACUGCUCCUCAGCGUAGAUCCAUCAAAAAUCUCAAAUAAUGAAUUUUAGGCUGCUAGUCUCUCUGAACUAUUAGCUUGAGAUGUGCACACUCUCAUUCAUUUAUACAUACUCACACUUACAAUAAAAUAAUUUCUACUCACUCAGCCUUAGAGUAGAAAAUAUUUCAAACACAGUGAACCUUGAAUCCAGUGAAGGUGACUCCCCUUAGGAAACUAUACAAGAUGUUUUGGUAUUUGAUUCAGGCAUCUGUGUGGUAGUCAAGAGGCUCUAAUAUGGGUCAGAACUAAAUUAACAUGAAAAGAAAUUCUUCAGUGCCAUAACUUGCUGUUGAACGAAAUAGAAAGCUGAAAAGAGGAGGGAAAACAUACUACAUAAGGUAUCCACUCAUUUAAUUGUUAAGUGUUUAGAACUCUGCAGCCAAGGGGAGACAAGUAUUGUGUAUUCAGGAGGAUUUAAGGCUGACUAAUCCAGAUAAGUAUCUUUGGAAGGCUGUUGAUAUUUCAUAAAGCUGAAGGGGGAUAAGUUCUUUAGAGUCUUCUGCCAACUAUUUUUAGAACCUUACUGCAAAUAGUGAAGAAGAGGGUAGUAUGUGUCAGUUUCAAACAACCAUAAAACCAUAGUUGUCAAGGUUAUUUUCUUCCCAGAGUAUCUCCACUUUUUUAAUACGCUACUACCGGGCACAAUUCCUUUAGCACUUACCUGGCAUUUCCAUGUAUAAAUUCUGAGUGGCAAUUAGAGAGAGUAGUCAGAAGUAAUUUAUACAGCCAAUGCUCCCUAAGGUAAAGACAACUGUUACUUGUUGCACAAGUGUGUAAUUGAUGUAAUGUUUAACUUUUACUGAAAUAGUAACCCUUUUUCUUUCCCAACCUCUUUGCUUUCAUUAUAGAAAUAUAAUGUUUCACCUUAAGAUUUGAUUGAAACUUCAUCCAAGCAGAUGAAACAUUGCCCUCUCUAGAAGGUUGAUCCAUAAAUUAUUUGUCUUCUGAGCAGUCCCUACAUGAGAGUUGGGUGGGUAAAUCCUCUCAUUUUGCCCAUGUUCAGCAACUCUUCAGGUGUGAUUCUAGAAUAUUUCAAUGUUUUUGAGCUAUUCAACUUGAAUAACCAGGGAGAGGCUGUUUAAAUAUUUUAUUUUGCAGUAAUUUUCAUAUUUUGCCAUGGUCUGUCUUCAGGUGCAUCAAAAAAUAGGUAGCAUAAGGAUAAUGUAAGAUGCUGCUAUACUGCAUGUUUGUAACUGAAUAAAGUUGAGUAACUUUCUUGGACACCUGCUCAAUCUAAAUAGUUUUUAAAUAAAAAUGUAUUGAAACAAGUAACCUGAGAAAAUGUAACUAACCUGGAAACACUCUAGAAACUUUAUCUAGGAUCUGUUUUCUUUAGUAACAGCCACUGGUGGGAGGAGAAUCUAAUUACCUAUGAAGCAUGAAUCUCAAACCACACUUCUUUUUUUGUUCCAAAAGCAACUCCGUGGAGCAGUUUUUCCCUACUUAUUAUAUGCAUAUGACAAUAUGACAGAGUUUUGGAAACUCUCUGCUAAGCGUGACAAAUAACUUGCUGAUGAAGCAAACUAUGCAGCACUUACCUUUAGGAGGUCAGGUGACUGACUCUUCAGAAGAAAAAGUCAGUGUUGCUUCAUGAAUUGACUAACAGAAGUAGCUGCAUACAUGACAGCUGAAGAUGCACUUUCCCUGGGGACUAAGCGCAGUAUGUUCAUGACAAGUGCAGCUAUCGCUGGUUGGGGGCUUGAAAGAUGAUCUUGUUUCUGAACCCAAGACUUCUCAUUCGUGUCUCAUCGGUGCAGCCUGGACCCCUGAACAAACCCAUAAUAGACUAUUGCUAUGUCCCGUGAAGACCAUUCUGCUUUCUGGGCCAGUGAAGACCAGGCCUAUAGAAGACAAGAAUUGCAAUAGCUGCACAGCUGUAUGAACGUUCUCUGUUAGCUGGCAGUUGCACUUGAGGUCUGCAUAUCACAAUCCAAGCCAAAGAGAAAGUGCUUUAGUUGCAUUUGGCAGAGGGGAACUGAGGAGCUAUAGAGAUGAGAGAAUUGACAGCUGCCAAAAUGAUGGAGUGGACUUAGCUUUUCCUCUAAAGCCUGCAGGUGACAGACUCUGCUGGCCAAAGCAAAACAACAUUAUGUAUUGAGUCAUAACUGACUGAAAAACUUGAAAACAGCUACAUCUUUCAAACAUGGUAUAAAGAGCAUGUCGUUUUCAGGUAGGCUC